UACGUAGGUGACAAGCGUUGUCCGGAUUUACUGGGCGUAAAGAGCGCGCAGGCGGUCGAUCAAGUCGAGUGUGAAAGCCCCCGGCUCAACUGGGGAGGGUCAUUCGAUACUGAUCGACUCGAAGGCAGGAGAGGGUAGUGGAAUUCCCGGUGUAGUGGUGAAAUGCGUAGAUAUCGGGAGGAACACCUAUGGCGAAGGCAGCUCGCUGGGACGUUACUGACGCUGAGACGCGAAAGCGUGGGGAGCAAACAGG
rnacentral:rRNA from 1 species